rnacentral:rRNA from 1 species
CCUACGGGUGGCAGCAGUGAGGAAUAUUGGUCAAUGGACGAGAGUCUGAACCAGCCAAGUAGCGUGAAGGAUGACUGCUCUAUGGGUUGUAAACUUCUUUUAUAUGGGAAUAAAACGUUCCACGUGUGGGAUUUUGUAUGUACCAUAUGAAUAAGGAUCGGCUAACUCCGUGCCAGCAGCCGCGGUAAUACGGAGGAUCCGAGCGUUAUCCGGAUUUAUUGGGUUUAAAGGGAGCGUAGGUGGAUUGUUAAGUCAGUUGUGAAAGUUUGCGGCUCAACCGUAAAAUUGCAGUUGCAACUGGCAGUCUUGAGUACAGUAGAGGUGGGCGGAAUUCGUGGUGUAGCGGUGAAAUGCUUAGAUAUCACGAAGAACUCCGAUUGCGAAGGCAGUUCACUGGACUGCAACUGACACUGAGGCUCGAAAGUGUGGGUAUCAAACAGGAUUAGAUACCCUUGUAGUC